rnacentral:rRNA from 1 species
UGGUAGUGGGGGAUAACGUUCGGAAACGGACGCUAAUACCGCAUANUUCNUACGGGAGAAAGCAGGGGACCUUCGGCCCUUGCGCUAUCAGAUGAGCNUAGGUCGGAUUAGCUAGUUGGUGGGGUAAUGGCUCACCAAGGCGACGAUCCGUAACUGGUCUGAGAGGAUGAUCAGUCACACUGGAACUGAGACACGGUCCAGACUCCUACGGGAGGCAGCAGUGGGGAAUAUUGGACAAUGGGCGAAAGCCUGAUCCAGCCAUGCCGCGUGUGUGAACGAAGGUCUUCGGAUUGUAAAGUACUUUAAGUUGGGAGGAAGGGUUGUAGAUUAAUACUCUGCAAUUUUGACGUUACCGACAGAAU